AAUAUUGCGCAAUGGAGGGAACUCUGACGCAGCGACGCCGCGUGAGCGAUGAAGGUCUUCGGAUCGUAAAGCUCUGUCCUUGGGGAAGAAGGGAGCCGUAAGGCUUCUUGACGGUACCCAUGGAGGAAGCCCCGGCUAACUACGUGCCAGCAGCCGCGGUAAUACGUAGGGGGCGAGCGUUGUCCGGAAUUAUUGGGCGUAAAGGGUUCGCAGGCGGUCUUUUAAGUCAGAUGUUAAAUGCAUAGGCUCAACCUAUGAGUGCAUUUGAAACUGGAAGACUUGAGUUAAGGAGAGGAAAGUGGAAUUCCUAGUGUAGCGGUGAAAUGCGUAGAUAUUAGGAGGAAUACCAGUGGCGAAGGCGACUUUCUGGACUUAAACUGACGCUGAGGAACGAAAGCAUGGGGAGCAAACA
rnacentral:rRNA from 1 species